rnacentral:misc_RNA from 1 species
AAGUCGUAACAAGGUUUCCGUAGGUGAACCUGCGGAAGGAUCAUUAUUGAAUAAACCUGAUGUGACUGUUAGCUGGCUUUUCGAAGCAUGUGCUCGUCCAUCAUCUUUAUCUCUCCACCUGUGCACAUUUUGUAGUCUUGGAUACCUCUCGAGGAAACUCGGAUUUUAGGAUUGCCGUGCUGUACAAGUCGGCUUUUCUUUCAUUUCCAAGACUAUGUUUUUAUAUACACCAAAGUAUGUUUAUAGAAUGUUAUCAAUGGGAACUUGUUUCCUAUAAAAUUAUACAACUUUCAGCAACGGAUCUCUUGGCUCUC